GUUUUCAAAUGCAAAGGCAAAUGGAAGCUCAAGAUGAAAUGAAACGCUCAAACAAGCCUUGUGUUAAUACAAUAAAAGGGUGAUGGAGAUGAAGACGAUCUUGGAGGCUGAAUAAAAAAUUUGGAAGGGGCAGAUUGAUUCACUGAAACAUUAUGAUUUCCCCAGCUCCUCCAGCCCUAGACCAUCGAUGGAGAUGGGCAUGAAGACAGCGGAAGUCACCAGAAAGACAGCAAACCUCCAGCUAACAGCUAACCCUGUCUCAAAAUAAUUAAUUAAUUAAAAAAUAAAUAAGAAGCAGGGGAUGUC
rnacentral:lncRNA from 1 species